AGCGCUUCUUGGCCUUUUGGGUAAGAUCAAGUGUAGUGUCUGUUCUUGUCAGUUUAAUAUCUGAUAUGUCCUCUAUCCGAGGACAAGAUAUUGGAUGGGUUUUGGGGAUUGGAGAUGGACUAGGAGCUUGCUCCAUCCACUCCACACAUCGACUUGAUAUUGCAGUACUUCUGGGAAUGGUGCACCCCUC